ACCACUUGUCGGUUUUGUUUGUUGUUUGAUGUUUAUCUGUUGAAGUUUUGUGAGCCUCCUGGAUCUGUGGUUUAGAGUCUUACAUUAAUUUUGGGGAAAUUCACAGUCAUUGUUGCUUCAAAUAUUGCUUCUGCUCCCUUAUCUUUUUCUUCUCCUCUGGUGUGCUCAUUAUGCAGAUGUUACGGCUUUUGUAGUUGUCCCAUGGUUCUUGGACAUUCUGCUUUUUUUUCCCCCAUCUUUUCCCUCUUGCUUCUCAGUUUUGGAAGUGUCUAUUGUCAUAUUCUCAAACUCAAAGAUUAUUUUCUCAUCAGUAUUCAGUCUACUAAUGAGUCCAUAAAAACAUUUGUCAUUUCCGUUAGUCUUUUUUGUCGCUAGAAAUUUUUUAAAACCUAGAAUUUCCAUUGCUCUUUUUACAUUGUCUAUCACUUCUUGCAUGUUUUCUACUUCUUCCAUUAAGCCCUUAGCAUAUUCGUUAUUUAAAAAAAUUCCUGGUCUAAUAAUUUCAACAUUCCUGCCAUAUCUGACUUUGGCUAUGAUGCUUAUUCAACCUCUUCAAACUGUAUUUCUUGCCUUCUAGUAUUUGUUAUAGCUUUUGGUUAAAAGAUAGAUAUUAUAUACUGGGUAAAAGGAACAGUGGCCUUUAAUAAUGUAAUGGUAAGGUGUAGGAGAAGGGAAAGAUAAUCAUAGCUUCUUUUUGGAGCUGACUUCAAGUGUUAUCUUAAAUGUUAUCUCUUUUAAUUGUUAGAAGAGGCCCAAAAGAUAGGCACCAUUAUCUGCAUGUAACAGAUAAGGAAGCUAGAGUUUGCCUGAAGUCAUAUGGCUAAUUAAUGAAGAAACCUAGACUCCUCCCACUCAGGUUUCUUUAACUCAAAAUCUACUUAAGAAUUGUGCACUGAAUUAUGUAAAACCAGAAACUACAUUUUUGAUCCAUUUGAGUUCUGUCUCCACUAGUUACCAAGUUUGUGACCCAGGUAGGUUGCUUAACAUCAAACUCCAGGUUUCUCAUCUGCAAAUGGGGACAAUAGUCGUCCCUUCCUCAUCAGGUUGUGAUAAAUGUGACAAUAACUUUGACAGAUAAAUUAACUAUAUGAAUCACACAAGAGGUAAUACUUCAAUUUGCAUAAGGAUUGAGAAGGGUACCUAAUAGAAAGAGACAGGUGGCAAAGGAGUGAAAGAGUGAGAGGGAAUUGGAAAUUGCCAUUUUCUCUUCCUAUCUCCUUUGUUGGGAUUCUUUUGGAGCCAUAACCACUGUCUUUCCACCAUUCCUACUAUCCACAGAGGAGACUCGGAGCAGGAAACACAAAUAAUUAUUGAACACGUAACUACAGUGAUGUCAAAAAUUGCUAUAAGCACUUUUCAUGUGUUAACAUGACAUAAUUGACCAAAAAACAAAUUGUAUAAUUAAGGAAACUGAGGCAUCGAGGAAACUGAGACUUGCAUAAAGACCAUAGCUUAUGAGUGCUAUACUUCAUGUGUGUUUUAUUUUUGAAGAGGCUGGUGUUUGAGCUCUCUUGCCUCUGAGACAUUUCUUGUUCAUUAAUUUCUAAACACUCUCUCCUCACUGGGGUGAAGAGACCACCUGGAGAUUUUUCUCAUCACCAAAAUAGGUGGGAAGGGUAUCCAUUGAUUCUACUAUUAACAUAUCUCAGACAGGCCCUUCAGAGCGAUUCAAUUCCCAUUGAUUUUCAUAAAGAAAAGCCCCAUUCAGAUGGAAAGCAAAGAAGGAUUUAUUUGUUCCUGACAUAAACUCGUGUUUCUUGCUGGGCUCAAUAAGUGCUGUGAGUGGGGAGGCUGAAUUUAGAUCAAUGAAGAAUCCAGAGAUCAUUCUUACAAAGCAAACACAUUGUGUGACCUGUUGGGCACAAUACUAAAAAGUAUCAGAGGUAUGAGGUCAUGGUUGUUUUCAGACUCUCUAGAAAUUUAUUCCAGAAGUCCUAUUCAGCACUAAACUCUGCAGCAUUUCCCAGGGUGGAGGAAGGAGACAACGGUGCUUUGUGACACACGUCUAAAGACAGGGGCUCUGGGGACACACUCCUGUGCUUUGCAUCCCAGUUUCAACUGCUGACUCUCAAGCAAGUUACUUAGCUAUGCCAGUGUUUUCAUCUAUAAAAAGAACAUAAUAAUAGCACUUUCUAUCUUAGGGUGGUCAUAAGUAUUAAACGAGAUAGUAUAUGUAAAGUGUGGAAAAUAGUACCCAGCACACCAUAAACGUAACAGCAAAAUAAUAAUUCACUUUUGCUGAAUGCACCUUCCCAUAGGGCCUAAGUGCUAAUUUCAGACAGUAAGUCAACCACUGUUGCCUUCAUGUUGCCAAAUUUAACAAUUAAAUCUGUUCAACAUGUCAGUGAAAUAAAGAGGAAUUUAGCAAGUUUUUAAAGGCAUUUUCUGAAUUGCUAAUUGCAUGAUUUGUACAUGCUACAGCUCAAAGGAAGAGUGUGCUGGUAGCCAGAGCUAGGAAAGAACCAAGGAAGAAAGUUAUCUUCCUCAAGAAAAGCCUUAUGCCUCUUUCCCCCAAUGCCUCAGGGCAACUGGGAAAGAUAAUGGACAAAAUACACAAUUGUGAAUGAGAAGUUGGGUGUUCAAAUUGUGGCUCUGGCACUUAAUUGUGCCAAUUACUCUGUCUAAAAUUUAAUUUUUCUAUUUGAGAAUACAGAUAACAACACCCACAGAAUUAAACAUAUUUAAAUGUCUUUUUAACAAAUAGUGCCUUGUGCAAAUGCUACCUAUUAUUUACUACACUGAUUCAAUCAUUCAAAUGCUUAUGUCCUGGGAGGGACUGAGAGCUUGUUUAUUUACAGCCUGUUAUAAAUUACUUCACAAUCAGGCUGCUUUCCUCAUAGACCUGGCUGGGACCAGGGAUGGUGGGUGAUGGGAGAGCUUUCCUUCUGCUGUGAUAAGAGUAAAGAAUAAGUCUUCUUGGAGCAUGAGCUAGUCUGGACCUGGGAUGGCAAAGGGUCCAGAGAGAAAGGUUGUAGAAUUCUGUGAGUUUCACGUGCUUUGAAACGUGGCUGAUGCAAGACCUGAUAGAACUGUUCAUCAAGAUGACUGAGAGGAUGAUGGUUGCUAGUUUCAUGGUGAUUUGAAGGAAAGACCAAUGUGGUAGGAGGCAGCAGGGUACUAGAGACAGAAGUAGACUGCUUCUACACCUUACUGGCCAUGUGCCCUUAGACAAGUUCCCGAAUCCAACUGGGACAUAGUUUCCUCAUCCUUAAGAACAGCAGCACCCACUGCAAAGACUGUGAUCAAGAUUAAAGAAGAGCCUUCAUCCAACACACCUCCUUCCAGGCACUCAGUAAAUGGAAUCCAUUAUCUCCACAGCCACCCACAUCUGUCAAGGCAUCUUGCUGUCGGAAGCACUAUGGGAGAUCUAUAAAUGCUGGUUACAUUCCCUCCAUGGUGACUUGGAGUAUUACACUGCUUCACAGAGGGGGAAACUGAAACCCACAAAGGUCAAAGGGCUUGAUGAAGCCUGUAAAGCCAUCUUACACAUCAGCUUUGGGAAACAUCGCGUAAGGCAUGGGCCUGGAGAGGAAAGCGGGCCCACAUCCAAGCUUAUGUCAGUCAGAUACUAAAAUGUCAUUAUCU